rnacentral:rRNA from 1 species
CGAAGGGGGCUAGCGUUGCUCGGAAUUACUGGGCGUAAAGGGCGCGUAGGCGGACAGUUUAGUCAGAGGUGAAAGCCCAGGGCUCAACCUUGGAAUUGCCUUUGAUACUGGCUGUCUUGAGUUCGGGAGAGGUGAGUGGAAUGCCGAGUGUAGAGGUGAAAUUCGUAGAUAUUCGGCGGAACACCAGUGGCGAAGGCGACUCACUGGCCCGAUACUGACGCUGAGGCGCGAAAGCGUGGGGAGCAAACAGGAUUAGAUACCCUGGUAGUCCACGCUGUAAACGAUGAGUGCUAGUUGUCGGCAUGCAUGCAUGUCGGUGACGCAGCUAACGCAUUAAGCACUCCGCCUGGGGAGUACGGUCGCGAGAUUA